rnacentral:ribozyme from 13 species
UGACAGGAAUAAGGAGAGGAGGAAGGAAAAGGGAAGGAGGAGGAGGGGAGUUUCUUCCUUUUCCCUUCUUUUUGUUCUUUUUGUUCAUUUUAUCCAGCCUUCUAU